AAAAUAAAAAAAUUCAUGAUAUUUGUUUGUCACUCCCACCAAAAUUGAGCUCCCUCAUCACGAAAUCUCCGUUUUGUGGUAGCGUCUAGCCCAUCCUCCACAUCCACCAUUUUCUGCGCUGAUUGGAUUCGGUUCAAGCAAAGCUCUCCCCACUAAAUCCAGCAGCCGGCCCGCAUCCAACAUAUGGAGCACCGACUAUGGACGAUCUGCCCCACAUCUCCAUGCAUCUUUCGGUGAAAACCACGUCGCCGUCACGCUACGAGAGCAGCAGCCUACAGCAUCGGCAGAUGGCGAUUUCAUUCCGUGCUCCGAGCGAGACGAAGCAGAAGCUCAUUUCAGGUCUGGACAAUAACAAUGCUGCCAGCAUCAUUGCCAACUGCAGUAGCUGCCCUCCACGCAUCACAGGCCGGUGAAUAGGCGCCGCUCGAGACCGUCGAAUAUAUAACGCCGGCCGUCCACCACGCCACCUACAAAUCGCCCCAAUCUCUGCGCGAUAACAGCUUGGACUACGCUAAAGCUUCGUGCAGCAGCCGAGGUUUCUUCACCAGGUCCUCCCAAGAAGGCAAGAACUGCUAGGCGUCUACGCUCCUAACCGGCAUAUAUACUCGGGAUCACCGGGGAAAUCUAUUUUUGUGUCGCAGAAGGAAUCCCCGCUCGCCUUUCACCUUCCUCACUAGCUUGCAGCCGCAGUUCGGGGUGAGGGUUGCCGAGUCCGGUGGCCACUGGCAACCUUAGAAGAGAUGGGGUGAGGUAGGGAAUCUCGACGGCGGAUCGGAGGUGGGUCACUGGGUUGCAAGGUGGCGUGGCAGGGUAGUGGGGACGCCGCUAGCGGUCAGUGGAUAACUGGUGGGCCCAAGUUGAGGUGGGAAAGUUCGAUCUCACCGGGUUAGGGUGGGGUGGGUGGUGGAGGUGGUCUAGAGACGGCGACGCCGCCGGGAUGGUGGGGCGGCGGUGCUGGAUUACCUGCAGGUUGAUUUUUUUACAUUAGUGUGUGUGUCAAAGAUAAUCAUAUAUCUAUGAAAUUAGUGGUUUAAUUUGCUUGAUGACUUAGAAAGGCUUGGCAUUGGAAGUGAUAGUAAACGAUUAGCAAAGUGUGUCGAAUUUCCGAUCCAAAGGUGUCAAAGAAAGGUCACAGGAAGGAACCUGGUGCUUUCCAUGCCUUACACCGCGAAGCGUGAACCGUGAUCGUCAUCUCAGUGCGUCUACUACACAGUUUACCCAGGUGCUGUCCACUGCAGAUUAUGCAACACCUCGGUGAAUCGUGAACAAUCUGGUAACAAUGAAUCAGAAAUUUUCUUGUGCUGUCCACUGCUGCCAUACACUAUACUGCAGAUUAUGCACACCUGGGUGAGGGCGGAGGCUAUUCAUCGCGCGCGGGUGGGAUGCAGGCCGUCGCAGAAUGGAGCCGCCACUCCUAUUCAUAUUCCUCGUUCAGGGCAACGGCGGCUGGAGUUUGGGGUGGAGGCGUUUGCCGGUAUCCAGUAGCCACCGGCGACCUUUAGAAGAGGGAGUAGAGGGUAGGGAAACCCAUCGGUGGAGACGGAUUGCGUGGUUGGCGUGGCGAGGCGUGAUGUGCUGGCCACCGGCGAUAACCAGUGGCCCGUAUUCAGUACGGGAGAGCUCAAGUGCUCGACCUUGCCGGGUUAGCGUGCAUGGGGUUGGGUGGUGGAAGCGGCGAUGUCGCCAGACGAUGGCCGGAGGACAGGGGGCCCUAUUGCAAAGGCUAAGGCAGCAUGUAUAAACUUUGCAUCGAUCGGGACGUCUGCUUUGUGCUUUGAUAAUUUAAUAGUCGUGUUUUCAGAUUGACAGCAUUUAUCUAUCUCUGGGGACUCUGGGCUAUCAUUCAUAUCAUUUCUAUGCCUGCUAAUUCUCGCUUUCAGGUGAGUCGUCAUUUCCUUUUAUGGUACAUGCAGGAGGAUGUGUGAGCUAAGUUUGAGCAAGAUGGCGCAUCCCCCAGCUGGAAAUCAUGUAGGGUCCGACAUGAGUGAUGUUAGAGGUACUUUUAGUAACACGCUGCUGUAUUUCUAACAUCAGGUAUUUUUAGAGGAAACGAAAAAGGAUUUUCUGAA